GGCGCAGCUCUUGCUAAGCACUUAUUACAGGUAGCCAACGGCGGUUGCCCCUUCUACGACAAAGACGUCGC
ncrna:Pseudomonas fluorescens NZ007 narK RNA